rnacentral:rRNA from 1 species
UACGUAGGGUGCGAGCGUUAAUCGGAAUUACUGGGCGUAAAGCGUGCGCAGGCGGUUCGUUGUGUCGGUGGUGAAAGCCCCGGGCUUAACCUGGGAAUGGCCAUGGAAACUGGCGAACUGGAGUGUGGCAGAGGGGGGUGGAAUUCCGCGUGUAGCAGUGAAAUGCGUAGAUAUUAGGAAGAACACCAGUGGCGAAGGCGGCUCACUGGUCCGGUACUGACGCUGAGGUGCGAAAGCGUGGGGAGCAAACAGG